UUUAUGGAGAGUUUGAUCCUGGCUCAGGAUGAACGCUGGCGGCGUGCCUAAUACAUGCAAGUCGAGCGAACAGAUAAGGAGCUUGCUCCUUUGACGUUAGCGGCGGACGGGUGAGUAACACGUGGGUAACCUACCUAUAAGACUGGGAUAACUUCGGGAAACCGGAGCUAAUACCGGAUAAUAUUUCGAACCGCAUGGUUCGAUAGUGAAAGAUGGUUUUGCUAUCACUUAUAGAUGGACCCGCGCCGUAUUAGCUAGUUGGUAAGGUAACGGCUUACCAAGGCAACGAUACGUAGCCGACCUGAGAGGGUGAUCGGCCACACUGGAACUGAGACACGGUCCAGACUCCUACGGGAGGCAGCAGUAGGGAAUCUUCCGCAAUGGGCGAAAGCCUGACGGAGCAACGCCGCGUGAGUGAUGAAGGUCUUCGGAUCGUAAAACUCUGUUAUUAGGGAAGAACAUACGUGUAAGUAACUAUGCACGUCUUGACGGUACCUAAUCAGAAAGCCACGGCUAACUACGUGCCAGCAGCCGCGGUAAUACGUAGGUGGCAAGCGUUAUCCGGAAUUAUUGGGCGUAAAGCGCGCGUAGGCGGUUUUUUAAGUCUGAUGUGAAAGCCCACGGCUCAACCGUGGAGGGUCAUUGGAAACUGGAAAACUUGAGUGCAGAAGAGGAAAGUGGAAUUCCAUGUGUAGCGGUGAAAUGCGCAGAGAUAUGGAGGAACACCAGUGGCGAAGGCGACUUUCUGGUCUGUAACUGACGCUGAUGUGCGAAAGCGUGGGGAUCAAACAGGAUUAGAUACCCUGGUAGUCCACGCCGUAAACGAUGAGUGCUAAGUGUUAGGGGGUUUCCGCCCCUUAGUGCUGCAGCUAACGCAUUAAGCACUCCGCCUGGGGAGUACGACCGCAAGGUUGAAACUCAAAGGAAUUGACGGGGACCCGCACAAGCGGUGGAGCAUGUGGUUUAAUUCGAAGCAACGCGAAGAACCUUACCAAAUCUUGACAUCCUUUGACCGCUCUAGAGAUAGAGUUUUCCCCUUCGGGGGACAAAGUGACAGGUGGUGCAUGGUUGUCGUCAGCUCGUGUCGUGAGAUGUUGGGUUAAGUCCCGCAACGAGCGCAACCCUUAAACUUAGUUGCCAGCAUUCAGUUGGGCACUCUAAGUUGACUGCCGGUGACAAACCGGAGGAAGGUGGGGAUGACGUCAAAUCAUCAUGCCCCUUAUGAUUUGGGCUACACACGUGCUACAAUGGACAAUACAAAGGGCAGCGAAACCGCGAGGUCAAGCAAAUCCCAUAAAGUUGUUCUCAGUUCGGAUUGUAGUCUGCAACUCGACUACAUGAAGCUGGAAUCGCUAGUAAUCGUAGAUCAGCAUGCUACGGUGAAUACGUUCCCGGGUCUUGUACACACCGCCCGUCACACCACGAGAGUUUGUAACACCCGAAGCCGGUGGAGUAACCAUUUUGGAGCUAGCCGUCGAAGGUGGGACAAAUGAUUGGGGUGAAGUCGUAACAAGGUAGCCGUAUCGGAAGGUGCGGCUGGAUCACCUCCUUUCU
rnacentral:rRNA from 1 species